UGUAGCCUCAAAAGAUGCAGCCCCAAAAAGUGCUGCUUUAGAAGGUGCAUCCCCAAAAGGUGCAGCACUAAGAAAGGAUACAGCACUAAAGGGUGCAGCCCCAAAAGGUGCAGCACUAAAAAAGGAUGCAGCCCCAAAAGUGCUACUUUAAAAGAAUGCAGCCCCCAAAGAUGCAGCACUAAUGGAUGCAGCCCCAAAAGAAUGCAGCCCCAAAAAGUGCUGCUUUAAAAGGUGCAGCCCCAAAAGGUGCAGCACUAAAGGAUGCAGCCCCAAAAGUUGUUGCUUUAAAAGGUGCAGCCCCAAAAGAUACAGCACUAAAGGGUGCAGCCCCAAAAGGUGCAGCACUAAAAAAGGAUGCAGCCCAAAAAGGUGCUGCUUUAAAAGGUGCAUUUCC